rnacentral:ncRNA from 2 species
AACAGGCAAAGACGAUUCGGUGCCUCUGCCUGCCGGAGGAGAAUAGGGAACCGUGUGAAAAUCGCGGGCAGCGCCCACUACUGUAACCUGUGUCCGCAGCCGCACAGUGCCACUGCCGUUCCGGCGGGAAGGCGCGGCCGCGCAGUGCAGAAAGCCAGGAGACCUGCCGGAUCGUUUGCUCUCAU